UCAGUUCGGACUGUAGGCUGCAACUCGCCUACACGAAGCUGGAAUUGCUAGUAAUCAUAGGUCAGCAUACUAUGGUGAAUACCGUUCCCGGGCCUUGUACACACCGCCCGUCACACCAUGAGAGUUGAGAAAUACCCGAAGUCCAUGUUAAAGUGGCCGAAGGUAGGCUUGAUGAUUGGGGUGAAGUCGUAACAAGGUAAC
rnacentral:rRNA from 1 species